CUUGUCUCCCACUGUAAACUCCACUCUGCAGGCAUAGGGCAGGAGAAAUACACCUCAUGAGACCACCUAGCUCACUUCAGACUGGGAGAGGCAGACAGCCUCAGAGCUGUGGUUAUGCAGAACCUACCAAUACGGCUGAUAUCACUGCUAAACCGAGGCAGAUCUUGGAAUCUUCCCUGUCACUAUUAGCUUUUUAGUGAGAACUGGGUUCUCACUAGUCCAUUGUUAAGUUCACCUAUGAAUUGACAGGGUUGGUACCUAAAGUUCCCUGGAGGCAUUACUCCCCCCCUCUUUGUAUGAGUUUUUACUCACGUUGCACCGACUGUCCGGAGACGGAGAAAUGCUGGGGUGAACUGAUAGCGAACGAAGCGGCCUGCACUGGUGUCCACUUCUCCACUGUCAUCCUCUUCCUCAUCAUCUUGCUCUAGAAGAAUUUACCAACUCAGAGUUAAUCUUCUGAUGUUCUAGGAAUAACAUGCUGAUGGCUUGUAGGUGGUAUACAGAAACCAUCCAAGACAUUGCUCAGACACCUGGCACCGCAAUAUCUAAGGACUGUUCUUUGAUAUGCUACUGGCAUUAAGAAGUUAACAGAGAGCAGCUUCAUAGAAAACACAAUUGAUUACAUGGACCAGAAGACCCUGCUCACAAAGAUGCAUGUCCAGGAAUUAGCUAUGGAAGUACAUAGAUACUUGACCGCUAGCCUUUUACCUCCAGGAUCUGCACUCCAGUCUUCCUUUGCCUACUUACACAUAAAGGGAUCUUUGGUGGGACUUAACUAUGGAAUUUGAUAAACCUUGAUCUAGUGUUCAGGGGGGAAAAAAUCAAACCAUAUCAGACCACAACAGCAGCACCACAACUAUGGGGCAUGCAAGUCCCCAAACACUGGGCACCAUCUGUAACAACCUUGCUGAGCUGAGGAGGUAAAGGGAUCUCUAAGCACAGUAUUCGCAUCCCACCGAGCUCACAAAUGGAAAAACAGUAUCAGCCUAUAGGGACGACACAGGUGAACUCAAUACACUUUGCAUAGUGAAAGAUCUUGGUGUUUGGCCUGCACAGCCCCUUCCCUGCAUCCCACCAGAACCCAUAAUAUCUAGCCCUUUCCCCACUGUCAGCAGGUUCUACCUGAAGCAGAAGGCUUGGCAAUUUCAAACAGCACUGUCCCUGUCUCCAGGUCCCGGAUCUUGAAUCUGGUGAAAUCGAUAUUGUAGAUGUUGUCCUCAGGUUUGCAUAAAUAAUCUAGGAGAUAGAGGAACAUAUUAGGGGGCUCUUUUGCUCACGACAGUCCAGAUCAGGAGAAGAAAAUAUGGGCCACUAACCCAUAUGCCUCAAAGGUUCUCCUCUCAGAUAUCAAAAGGCCUUCAGCAACAUUAACUAAGCCCAAGCACCUUAGAACCUUUAGGGAUAUUUCCCAGAAGUUUCUGGGAGAGUUGAGGGGGGCAAACAGCAAGGAAACCAAAAAAGCAAGUUGCCAGUUAAACUAAUCAAACAGUACAAUGCAGUUCAGCAUUUGGACUCAGUGCUGACUGAACCAAGUUACUACUAUUCAUAUGUAUAUAUUGUAUAACUACUAUAAGUUACUAGUACUACUCAGCUAUAUAUACUGAGUGAGCAAAUCCAAUCAAAGAGGGGAAAAUGAGGCUAUUUAUUCAGUAUGCCACAGUUUAACACAAGCACCACCUAAGCAGCAUCACUCCUGCAAAAAAGCCAACAGGACAAACUGCAAAAGGGAAGGAGAGUUUGGCUCCUGCUUCAUCAAAACUACUGGAAAGUGAGAGACCAACAAACUCGAGGAGUAGACUGAACAAGGCUGACAAGCAGUCUCAGGGUUUCAGGGAUAUUCAUCCUAGAUAGGCAAGUAAAACAAAACUUUGAUGAUCAAGCCAAUUUAGGACCUGAAACCAAAAAUGUAACAUCUACAUGGGCAUGCAUGUGGAACUUCACAGAAAAAUCUGGGUCCCUAUGGACCAAUACAGUCUCAGUAUUCCAGACCCUGACAGAUUUUGUCCCCCAACUUUUCUGUCUGUGUGGACAAACCAGAAAAGGUGGGAUGCCUCAGCACCAAAAUGGACCCAGUUGGAAAAGCAGAGAUCUAUCACAAGAGCCUGACAACUUCUGACUUUCAACCUUUUCAUCUAUCCAGCCAAAUAUGGCUGCUGAGAGAGGAAGCAGAGUAGGUCCUUCACCUAGUCUAGACUAGGAUGUUUUCUGGAAGGGAUAGUGGGGACCCCAGGGAAGAGGUGUCCUGGACCGGAAAGAAUAUUGUCCUGCCAAGGUUACUUCUGGUAUCCUCAGAAGAGAAUAUCAAGUUCUGCAGAAAGACUGAUACUGGGGCCGCAAAGAGGGUAAGGUAUACGGAAGGAGUGGGCAAACUAUGGCCCAGAGCCUCAUCCGGCACUUCAGACGUUUUAAUCCAGCCCUCAAGCUCCAGCCAGGGAGCAGGGUCCAGAGUUUGCCUUGCUCCAGCUGGGGCCAAUGGGAGCUGCAGGGGCAGUGCCUGUGGACAGGGCAGCACGCAGAGCCACCUGGCUGCGGCUCUGUGUGGGAGCGGGAGAGGAUAUGUGCCACUGCUUCUGGGAGCUGCUUGAGUUAUAGAUGAAGCACCUGCUUCCAGCAGCCAUAGCAGUCAGUCACUGCAGAGAUUCUAAGGUGGAUGAAUUUAGGCUGACAAUGCAGAGACUCCUAGAAAUUAAUUAAAGAGAUGGAAACAGCACUGCUCCCACACACAAGGCUUCAGGGACUGAAUUAUCCUCUAAGAUGCGUCAUGAGGCCCCAUGUCUCCCAGUAGCUGUAGUUCGAGAGGCAGCUAAGCUAUAGCCCUCAGCAAGCACAGAUUUGGAGCAAAUAGAAGCAUUACUAUAUUACUCAUUAAUUUAAUUGAAGAACGUAUCUUCUGGGGCAGCAAUUUAAUUACAGAGAAUGGGUAGCUUCCAUCCCUGAGGAAAGAGAGGAGCAGUAGCAUCACAAAACAGUGAACACAACUGUUCAUCCUCAGGCUUCUCAAGGUACCCGGAGCUGUGGCCUGAAUGUACUCACUCCACCCUGCCCACUAUUGCAAGGCCGUGCACACAGGGACCAG